CGGGACGGGGUGGAGUAAUGUCUGGGAAACUGCCUGAUGGAGGGGGAUAACUACUGGAAACGGUAGCUAAUACCGCAUAACGUCGCAAGACCAAGAGGGGACCUUCGGGCCUCUUGCCAUCGGAUGUGCCCAGAUGGGAUUAGCUAGUAGGUGGGGUAACGGCUCACCUAGGCGACGAUCCCUAGCUGGUCUGAGAGGAUGACCAGCCACACUGGAACUGAGACACGGUCCAG
rnacentral:rRNA from 1 species